CCUUGAUCUUCUCCUUUUCCUUGGGAGCUUGUUUCUCUUCGGCAGAAGGCUAGAGCUCGGGCUUGGAGGAGAUUCCUUUCACUGGCUAGAAUAGAGAUUUUGUAGCAAGCCCUAGUUCGCUGGACUUGGUGAACCCGACUCUGUAGCUCGGAGCCAGGAGAAGAUCAAGUCUAGGAUCGGGGGGCGGGUGUCUGGGAGUGUAUUUUUCGCUAUUAUCAGUAUCUCUGUAGUACACUUUUCUGUGAGUGUAAGGCUUGUAUUCUGACCGUAUUUAUGUUUUGAAAACUAUUGGGUUCGUCCUUGUAUUCUGUAGGGAUGCUAAAGCCCGUACUUGUAAUUUUUCAGUUUCCAGUAUCCUAUUUGUGCUUCUGUAUUACUAUUUAUAUUUUACUUGUUAGGGUUGACUCUGACCAGGUCAAAUCCGAGGCCUGGCACCCAGUGGGACCCAGUCCCAUUGGAUGCUGUUGAUCUGUCCGCGGGCCCGGCUGUGGGGCUGGGGCGUGACAGUAUGUUUCAUCAUUCUUAAGCUCAUGGAAAACAGUUAUGGGUGAGAUAUGUGAGCGUUGGACACUUGAAGUUUCUCAAGUAAGAGUGAAGUUCGUGACGCCUGACGCAUACAAAACGCUUUGCCCAAUUAAGUCGAAUGCGGACUUUCAACAUAUGUGUCAUAUAUACCAUAUUUUCAAUAAAUUUGUCGUGGACAUCACUGUCGAAGAAGUGAGUGGGUCCGGGGACAGAAACUCAGGCUCUUUGACCCUAUCAUAAUACAACAAUGACUGCUAGUGUUGGUUUCUUUUAAUUUAUGUGUUCAUGUGUAUUUCUAACAUUUCUUGUUUAUAAUUACCACUUCCUGUGUAUUAUUAGUUUUUCAUGUGUAUUGUUUAAUGGUUCAUGUGUAUUUUGUGUUAUGUAUUGCCCCACAAGGAGUCCUUUUCAGACAGCAUGAAUGUUGAUAUCAAGACUUUUUUCUCCCAACAUCCUCCUGCUGUGGCGCUUAGUAUUGCUGGGUGUCUAAGGUGGAAAAGAAUCGAGUCGCAUGGUAUUAAUUUCCGUGAUUUACAUUGUAGUAGUUACUAUCAGUCUAGACAUAAUUGUCGAUCAUGUAAUGCCGUAAUAGCGGACUAAGCAGUCUAUGCAUAAUGCAAGUGGGGUUUAUUUCUA